GAGGAGGGCGUGUCGGCGUGAGCGCGGCAGGGGAAGGAGAAGGAGGGCGGAGCGGAGAGAGAGGAAGGUUUGGGAUCCGGGCUCGGGCGGCGGCGACGAGACGGGCUCGGGCGGCGGCGACGAAGGAGGAAUGGGCGACCGCGGGCCGGAGGAGGGGAGUGCAGGAGGAGGAAGAUGGGGGAGGGCGGGGCCGGGGCCGAGGGCGCCCUCCCUUCGUCCUUACCGCUCCGCUCCGUUUCCGCCGCAUCCCCUGUGCCGCACCGCGUCCACCCAGCCGCGCCGGCGCCGAAGAGAAGAAUAGAGGGCCCUCACCCGGCGUCGGUACCUCUCGCCGGUCUCCUCGUUCCUGCCGGUUGGGGACGGUGGAUAGGUCGUGCACAACCCCUAACGCCCGUUGCUAACUUAGACGUCUGACCAAGCGAGUUCCUACUGCUCCUCUACCGGCCGAAGUCCCACGUCGUCUUCCUCCUCCCCGUGCGUCACGGCCGGCCCGACUACGCCUCCCCCGACGUUCGAGCUGCACUCUCGUCGCCGUCCCUGUUCGAGUCGUCCGAGAAGAUGACGCGGACGAUCUGGAGCUCCCUGAAUAGAUGAUACUAUGGUAUAUGUACGAAUACCUUCCGUGAGUUGUCGUAUAAGAUCUUUUUUUAUCUCCAAAUAAUAGGUCGUGGCAGUGACGGCAGGAAUUGUAUGUCUUCUUCAAGCAAGGUUCGAAGUUCUGAGAUCCCAGUUAAGGUAUCUUCCAUUAAAGGAAACUAUAACCAUAACAACUGUAAACCAAAAAGGCCGAAGACCAACGGCAAUAUGAAACAAAUAGUACGAAAACAAACAUAAAUUUAAACGGAUUUCUAUACAAGUUCAAGUAUGGACGUCAAGUUAUCGAUAACGGACUUUAGACGAAAGAUGGACACGAAAAAUUCAUAUAUACGGAUAUGUCACAGGAGAUAACGAAAGAAUUUAAGACCUCAGACGAUACAUUACUACCGUAGCCGUCUAAAACAACGUCCGUCAUGACUUUUCAUUUAUAUAACUUGUCUAGUUUAACGUUCUAAUCAAUCGAAAGGAGGAAUAAUGUAAAAGAGAAUGUAAAAGUUACGAAACAGAUGGUACGAAAGAGUACAGGGACCACGGAAAAAACAAACUAUACUUCAUUUAAACGUGUGACCUACCCCGCUGGUCCAACACCGUUGAACCGCCGUACCGAUUACUUAUUUCUUUUAUCGUUAUUGACUAACUAAAAUCUAGAGUACACGGACGUUUAGAAGACAAGAACGGCAAAUACACGACCUAGACAACAACGUAAGCAGCUAGACAACAACCAAGAAUUAAAUCAGACCAUUUCUCAUUCAACGUGAAACAGCCAGGUAAACCCAAUACCUAAAAAAAAUAAUACUACCGCUCUGUGUGGAUACCACUCUAAGAUAAAGCUACUACUACACGUGAGAAGUGUGGAGCGAAACUUAACCGUGCUCUUCUAGCAAGAUCUAACCUUAGGUAUAUUGAAACUCUUCCAGUUACAGACAACAGAAAGAGAGAGACUGACGGAGGAGGGUAACUGAACCGUACGACCAGUGGCGGCACAGAGGACGACCGAACGGGGAGCGGGAGCAGCCCUCCCAACACACCCGGCAGGAUGUAAAAUUAGGUGUAUUGAAACUUUUCCAGCGGUGGUACGGCUGAGAGAGAGAGAGAGAGAAAGAGAGAGAGAGAGAGGAGAGAGAGAGAGAGAGGAGAGAGAGAGAGAGAGAGAGAGAGAUUGUCGGGGAGGGCAACAGAACCAAACGACCAACGACAACACAGAGGGCGGCCAAGCGGGCAACGGUAGUGACCUUCCCAACACAUCAGGCGGCGAGUACGGUCAUGAGACAUCACUGGUCACUCCUGGUACCGUAGCUCUAUCGGGUUUUCCUUUGUGGCGGCCGAUAUCGUGGCCAACUCCGGUGGGACAGACAGUCGGGUGUUGUCAAAGAAGUAGACUGCUUCUUAAAUACCACCUACUAUAGUGAGACCCUCCUUAAUAGUCCGUGUGUUGGUCGCUCGCCACCGUCUUCGUUGAAGAGGGAACUUGAUGUACGGUCCGGUUGAAAUAAGAUUCUCCGAGGUUUUAGACUUCUUUCUACACCGAUACGUCCUACGGUUCGUAGCGUUCUGAUUCCACCGAUUGUGUUACCUCGACCUUGUAGCUGGAAAACAAAGCAUAGCGGGUUCGGUCGUACAAACGGGAAAACUACAAGAAGACUUGUCCUUUACAUAUUGCAAAUCUAAGGGCAACAGCAGAAACAUUACCUUCCAUCGUGGACCACCGUACAACGAUAAAAGUGAAACGAAACUUGUUCUGUAACUAUCUGAAAUCUAUAACUAAGAUAGAGAGAUAGCAUCUUUCAUUACAUACCAUAACACAAAAUAGAGAUAAGUUUACUUUCGUGGCUCGAACUAAGACAGAAUA
rnacentral:rRNA from 1 species